rnacentral:rRNA from 1 species
GUAGGUGGCAAGCGUUGUCCGGAAUUAUUGGGCGUAAAGCGCGCGCAGGCGGUUCUUUAAGUCUGAUGUGAAAGCCCACGGCUCAACCGUGGAGGGUCAUUGGAAACUGGAGAACUUGAGUACAGAAGAGGAAAGCGGAAUUCCACGUGUAGCGGUGAAAUGCGUAGAGAUGUGGAGGAACACCAGUGGCGAAGGCGGCUUUCUGGUCUGUAACUGACGCUGAGGCGCAAAAGCGUGGGGAGCAAACAGGGAUUAGAUACCCUGGUAGUCCACGCCGUAAACGAUGAGUGCUAAGUGUUAGGGGGUUUCCCGCCCCUUAGUGCUGCAGCUAACGCAUUAAGCACUCCGCCUGGGGAGUACGGCCGCAAGGCUG